rnacentral:snRNA from 1 species
UUUUUUUCAUGUAAUGAA